GAUGAACGCUGGCGGCGUGCCUAAUACAUGCAAGUCGAGCGAACAGACGAGGAGAUUGCUCCUCUGACGUUAGCGGCGGACGGGUGAGUAACACGUGGAUAACCUACCUAUAAGACUGGGAUAACUUCGGGAAACAGGAGCUAAUACCGGAUAAUAUAUUGAACCGCAUGGUUCAAUAGUGAAAGACGGUUUUGCUGUCACUUAUAGAUGGAUCCGCGCCGCAUUAGCUAGUUGGUAAGGUAACGGCUUACCAAGGCAACGAUGCGUAGCCGACCUGAGAGGAUGAUCGGCCACACUGGAACUGAGACACGGUCCAGACUCCUACGGGAGGCAGCAGUAGGGAAUCUUCCGCAAUGGGCGAAAGCCUGACGGAGCAACGCCGCGUGAGUGAUGAAGGUCUUCGGAUCGUAAAACUCUGUUAUUAGGGAAGAACAAAUGUGUAAGUAACUAUGCACGUCUUGACGGUACCUAAUCAGAAAGCCACGGCUAACUACGUG
rnacentral:rRNA from 1 species